rnacentral:rRNA from 1 species
UAGGGAAUCUUCGGCAAUGGGGGGAACCCUGACCGAGCAACGCCGCGUGAGUGAAGAAGGUUUUCGGAUCGUAAAGCUCUGUUGUUAAGGAAGAACGAGUGUGAGAAUGGAAAGUUCAUGCUGUGACGGUAUUUAACCAGAACGGGACGUCUAACUACGUUCCAGCAGCCGCGGUAAUACGUAGGUCCCGAGCGUUGUCCGGAUUUAUUGGGCGUAAAGCGUGCGCAGGCGGUUAGAAAAGUCUGAAGUGAAAGGCAGUGGCUCAACCAUUGUAGGCUUUGGAAACUGUUUAACUUGAGUGCAGAAGGGGAGAGUGGAAGUCCAUGUGUAGCGGUGAAAUGCGUAGAUAUAUGGAGGAACACCGGUGGCGAAAGCGGCUCUCUGGUCUGUAACUGACGCUGAGGCUCGAAAGCGUGGGGAGCGAACAGG